CACUCAUCCAAUUAUUUUGACUACAUGUGUCCUUACCUUAAAUGUGCACAUGAAUUCUUUCCUGAUUUUUUUUUUUUUUUCGGAUGCAGGACAGUGUCCUGAUUCUUUUAAAAUUCUCUCCAUUGGUAGAGCCAGAGAAAAUUUUGUUUUUUUAAUUUUUUUUUAAUUUUUUUUAACGUUUAUUUAUUUUUGAGACAGGGAGAGACACAGCAUGAACAGGGGAGGGUCAGAGAGAGGGAGACACAGAAUCUGAAGCAGGCUCCAGGCUCUGAGCUGUCAGCACAGAGUCCGACGCGGGGCUCGAACUCACGGACCGCGAGAUCAUGACCUGAGCCGAAGUCGGCCGCUUAACCAACUGAGCCACCCAGGCGCCCCAAGAAAAUUUUGAUAACUACUUUUUGAUUAGCACUUUUCCAACUAUGUUCACCUCCUUGUCUGGGAUUUCUGUCCUGUGACAGCCGCCUGUUGGGAUGCAAGGCAUGUUGGUCUAACUCUUGGGAAAUGACUUGUCUGGGAGGCCAGCUGACACCAGCAAAUAUAAAGUUGAAGGGAAACAUCAACGGCUACCACCAACUCUGUCCAACUCAGUGGGAGCCAUGCUCCGAGGUUCAACUUUGCCCGCCCAAAUGAACUACUUUCUCCAUGGAAGAGUCCCGCAUGGAAUGUAGUUCCUGAAGGACUCUAUGGAAAACUUAAUGUCCAGCAAAACACACUGGUUUUGAAGAAAAGUAUCAAUGAUUCAACUAACUGUUGGGCUGGUCAAAUUCUCCUGAGAUGUGUUCACCAGAAAGAGCCAACAGCUGAGUAGCUAAAACCUGACAUAUUGAAAACCAAAGGAAACUCAGGUAGGAAAUGUCAAGGUAUUGAUUGAGUCUUGAAAUACGUGUAUGUGUUUUAUGUCUAAAUUUUGAAAAUAAAAUGAAGGAAAUGAAAACA
rnacentral:lncRNA from 1 species